rnacentral:rRNA from 1 species
GACAGAGGUGCCGAGCGUUAGGCGGAAUCACUGGGCUUAAAGCGUGUGUAGGCGGAAGCGUAAGUGACUUGUGAAAUCCCACGGCUCAACCGUGGAACUGCUGGGCAUACUGCGUUUCUUGAGCCAAUCAGGGGUCGUCGGAACAAACGGUGGAGCGGUGAAAUGCGUAGAUAUCGUUUGGAACGCCAAAGGCGAAAGCAGACGACUGGGAUUGCGCUGACGCUGAGACACGAAAGCCAGGGGAGCAAACGGG